UGGAGUCUUCUUUGGCCAAGUCACCACAGGGACCCCAGUGAUGGCCAGACUAGGAUCAUCAUCCGCGUGCUCCUUCAGGACUUUCUCCACCAGAGCUUUCAGGCCCUUCAGUUCAAACUCGGUGAGAUGGGUCCAUUUGGCAGAGACCUCCGUGGCGGGAGAGCCGGUGGGGGUCUUGGGGUAGUCUACGGCCAAUGUGGUGGACUUCACACUCUCCUCCGACUCGUUAGACAAAGUCCUUUUGAGGAAUCGCAGGGCAGGUGCUUUGGGCUUCUUCCCGAGGGCCUCCUGGUCCUCGGAGGGCGUGCUGGUGGGUGAAGUGGAGCCAUCGGCGGGCGGUUUGGGUGCCCUGUCCCUGCCCUCGCCCUCCUCGUCCUUCUCCUCCUCCUCCUGAGGCUGCUGAUCACAGGCCUCCUCCUCCAUCUCCAGCCAGGAAUCCGAAGAGAAGCCGUCUA
rnacentral:lncRNA from 1 species